rnacentral:rRNA from 1 species
AACGAACGCUGGCGGCAGGCUUAACACAUGCAAGUCGAGCGCCCCGCAAGGGGAGCGGCAGACGGGUGAGUAACGCGUGGGAAUCUACCGAGCGCUACGUAAUAGCUCCGGGAAACUGGAAUUAAUACCGUAUACGCCCUUCGGGGGAAAGAUUUAUGGGGGUUUGAGGAGCGCGCGUUGGCUUAGCUAGUUGGUGGGGUAAAGGCCUAACAAGGCGACGAUCCAUAGCUGGUCUGAGAGGAUGAUCAGCCACAUUGGGGCAGAGACACGGCCCAAAGUCCUACGGGAGGCAGCAGUGGGGAAUAUUGGACAAUGGGCGCAAGCAUGAUCCAGCCAUGCCGCGUGAGUGAUGAAGGCCCUAGGGUUGUACAGCUCUUUCACCGGUGAAGAUAAUGACGGUAACCGGAGAAGAAGCCCCGGCUAACUUCGUGCCAGCAGCCGCGGUAA